UACGUAGGGUGCGAGCGUUGUCCGGAAUUAUUGGGCGUAAAGAGCUCGUAGGUGGUUUGUUACGUCCGCUGUGAAAUCCUAGGGCUUAACCCUGGGCUUGCAGUGGAUACGGGCAGACUAGAGUGCGGUAGGGGAGAUUGGAAUUCCUGGUGUAGCGGUGGAAUGCGCAGAUAUCAGGAGGAACACCAAUGGCGAAGGCAGAUCUCUGGGCCGUAACUGACGCUGAGGAGCGAAAGCAUGGGGAGCAAACAGG
rnacentral:rRNA from 1 species